rnacentral:rRNA from 1 species
GACGAACGCUGGCGGCGUGCCUAAUACAUGCAAGUUGAGCGAUGAAGAUUGGUUCUUGCACCAAUUUGAAGAGCAGCGAACGGGUGAGUAACGCGUGGGGAAUCUGCCUUUGAGCGGGGGACCACCUUUGGAAACGAAUGCUAAUACCGCAUAAUAACUUUAAACAUAAGUUUUAAGUUUGAAAGAUGCAAUUGCAUCACUCAAAGAUGAUCCCGCGUUGUAUUAGCUAGUUGGUGAGGUAAAGGCUCACCAAGGCGAUGAUACAUAGCCGACCUGAGCGGGCGAUCGGCCACAUUGGGAGGGAGACACGGCCCAAACUCCCACGGGAGGCAGCAGUAGGGAAUCUUCGGCAAUGGACGAAAGUCUGACCGAGCAACGCCGCGUGAGGGAAGAAGGAUUUCGGAUCGGAAAACUCUGUUGGUAGAGAAGAACGUUGGUGAGGGUGGAAAGCUCAUCAAGUGACGGUAACUACCCAGAAAGGGACGGCUAACUACGUG